rnacentral:misc_RNA from 1 species
GAUGAAGAACGUAGCGAAAUGCGAUAACUAAUGUGAAUUGCAGAAUUCAGUGAAUCAUCGAGUCUUUGAACGCACAUUGCGCCCCCUGGUAUUCCGGGGGGCAUGCCUGUCCGAGCGUCAUUGCUGCCCUCAAGCACGGCUUGUGUGUUGGGCCGCCGUCCCCGGUUUCCCCCGGGGACGGGCCCGAAAGGCAGCGGCGGCACCGCGUCCGAUCCUCGAGCGUAUGGGGCUUUGUCACCCGCUCUGUAGGCCCGGCCGGCGCCAGCCGACACCCAACUUUAUUUCUAAGGUUGACCUCGGAUCAGGUAGGGAUACCCGCUGAACUUAAGCAUAUCAAUAAGCGGAGGA